UAUCAGCAAAAUCAAGAUGAGAAGAGCAACUGCACACAUAAGACCAAUGAACCAUCCCUGAGUAGCAAUGUCAACCUGCCGACUUGCCUUUGCUAGGAAAAAGAAAAAGAAAAAAUUAUGUCAAAGUGCUUCUUAGGAAGAUUAUAGAACAUUAUCAAACGAAAUCCUGCUAUCAAUGAAGAUAUGAGGAAGACUGCAUCUGGAACAUCAACCUAUACUAUUUCCACUCAUAUAUAAUGCCUAUAGAUAGGUAACAUGAUUCCUAAUUGUCCUUUUUAUUAGUUGCUUUGUUAUCUUCCUGAUAAUUAUUUUAUAUUAUAAAACAGUUAACCUUAGCAUUUGGUUUUACAUGCAAUACAUAAAGGCUACGAACAAAAGUGUUUUGUUCAAAACACUAACAAUAAACUCUAAACACUUCUAUAAACAACAUGCUCUAUAAGAAUACAAGACAUCUGGAAAUUUCUAAUAAAACUUAUGUAUUAGGUAAAACUGUUUCAUACAGGCAAACUGACACAAAGAUUUCUAGUCUUCCUUUUUUACAGAAUACUUGGUGCAAAACUUUCCAAAUAGUAGAGACAUUACUUGUUUUGAUUAUGGCAUAUUUGGACCAGUGGAACAUCAAAUUUAGUAGGGUUC